CUACGGGUGGCUCCAGUGAGGAAUAUUGCACAAUGGGGGGAACCCUGAUGCAGCAACGCCGCGUGGAGGAUGACGCAUUUCGGUGUGUAAACUCCUUUUAUAUGUCAAGAAAAUGACGGUAGCAUAUGAAUAAGCACCGGCUAACUCCGUGCCAGCAGCCGCGGUAAUACGGAGGGUGCAAGCGUUACUCGGAAUCACUGGGCGUAAAGGACGCGUAGGCGGGUUGGAAAGUCAGGUGUGAAAUCCUACAGCUUAACUGUAGAACUGCACUUGAAACUUCUAAUCUAGAGUAUGGGAGGGGGAGAUGGAAUUAGUGGUGUAGGGGUAAAAUCCGUAGAUAUCACUAGGAAUACCUAAAGCGAAGGCGAUCUCCUGGACCAAUACUGACGCUGAGGCGCGAAGGCGUGGGGAGCAAACAGGAUUAGAUACCCCCGUAGUC
rnacentral:rRNA from 1 species